rnacentral:misc_RNA from 1 species
UACGAAGGGGGCGAGCGUUGUUCGGAAUUACUGGGCGUAAAGCGUACGUAGGCGGCCAAGCAAGUUAGAAGUGAAAGCCCAGGGCUCAACCUUGGAAUUGCUUUUAAAACUGCUAGGCUAGAAUCUCGGAGGGGAUAGCGGAAUUUCCAGUGUAGAGGUGAAAUUCGUAGAUAUUGGAAGGAACACCAGUGGCGAAGGCGGCUAUCUGGACGAGAAUUGACGCUGAGGUACGAAAGCGUGGGGAGCAAACAGG